rfam:Tupaia chinensis contig171235, whole genome shotgun sequence.
GAUUAACCUGUAUUCGAAUACCUGCUCUAUGAAAGGCUUGGUUCUGAGGCCACUUUUUUCAACAGUCAGCACCUUUUGGUCUCUAAGAAAUGAUGUCUGCAAUCCAUAUCAG